rnacentral:ncRNA from 1 species
AUAACUAUCUAAUUAUGUUUGUAGGUUAAUUCUUCCCGGCCUAAAAUGUACCAUUUCUACAUUAAGCACAUCACUGUAUGCUGGAACAUCCUAAAGCACCUAAGUACUAAUGAUUAGUAAAAAUCUUAGUGAUUAUAAUGGACAAUCAGCAGGAAACCGUUCUUUUUAUGGGAUCCUCAGAGACUAUGCGUGAUGCAAUUUAGUAAUAUAAAUUGAAGAUAUAGUCCAAUAAAAUAUGAAAAUAUUUU